CCCGCCCCCUCCCCCUGCCAUGCCCCUAACCUCCAGGGAGGGAAGAGGGGCUGGAGAUUGAAUCCAAUUACCCAAUGGCCAGUGAUUCAAUCAACCAUGCCUAAGAAACGAAGGGUUUGGAGAACUUCCGGGUUGGUGAAGAAGAAGCUUGACUGGAUCAGAAAUUGUGUUUGUGUACCACAUAGAACCCCUGAGCCUAGGACAGCACCUGGCACACAAUCAUGCUCAAUAAACGUUUCUGAAUGUGAUACAUGAAUGACUAUCGCCUGCUCUGGAAAGUCUUCCUAACCACCAGAAUGGAUUAGUCCUCC
rnacentral:lncRNA from 1 species